CCGGGGUCAWAGMCGGUCAGACUCUACGGGAGGCAGCAGUAGGGAAUCUUCCGCAAUGGACGAAAGUCUGACGGAGCAACGCCGCGUGAGUGAUGAAGGUUUUCGGAUCGUAAAGCUCUGUUGUUAGGGAAGAACAAGUGCCGUUCAAAUAGGGCGGCACCUUGACGGUACCUAACCAGAAAGCCACGGCUAACUACGUGCCAGCAGCCGCGGUAAUACGUAGGUGGCAAGCGUUGUCCGGAAUUAUUGGGCGUAAAGGGCUCGCAGGCGGUUUCUUAAGUCUGAUGUGAAAGCCCCCGGCUCAACCGGGGAGGGUCAUUGGAAACUGGGGAACUUGAGUGCAGAAGAGGAGAGUGGAAUUCCACGUGUAGCGGUGAAAUGCGUAGAGAUGUGGAGGAACACCAGUGGCGAAGGCGACUCUCUGGUCUGUAACUGACGCUGAGGAGCGAAAGCGUGGGGAGCGAACAGGAUUAGAUACCCUGGUAGUCCACGCCGUAAACGAUGAGUGCUAAGUGUUAGGGGGUUUCCGCCCCUUAGUGCUGCAGCUAACGCAUUAAGCACUCCGCCUGGGGAGUACGGUCGCAAGACUGAAACUCAAAGGAAUUGACGGGGGCCCGCACAAGCGGUGGAGCAUGUGGUUUAAUUCGAAGCAACGCGAAGAACCUUACCAGGUCUUGACAUCCUCUGACAAUCCUAGAGAUAGGACGUCCCCUUCGGGGGCAGAGUGACAGGUGGUGCAUGGUUGUCGUCAGCUCGUGUCGUGAGAUGUUGGGUUAAGUCCCGCAACGAGCGCAACCCUUGAUCUUAGUUGCCAGCAUUCAGUUGGGGCACUCUAAGGUGGACUGCCGGUGACAAACCGGAGGAAGGGUGGGGGAUGACGUCAAAUCAUCAUGCCCCCUUAUGACCUGGGCUACACACGUGCUACAAUGGACAGAAACAAAGGGCAGCGAAACCCGCGRGGUUWRGCCAAUCCCACARAUUCUGUUUCUCAGUUUCGAGAAUCGCAAKUCGUGCCARCUCCGA
rnacentral:rRNA from 1 species